rnacentral:sRNA from 1 species
GCCCAGCCGACGGAGCCUCGAGGCGAAU